rnacentral:rRNA from 1 species
UAGUGAGUUUGAUCCUGGCUCAGGAUGAACGCUGGCGGUCUGCCUAACACAUGCAAGUCGAACGAAGCCUUCGGGCUUAGUGGCGCACGGGUGAGUAACGCGUGAGAAUCUGCCUUCUGGUCGGGGACAACCACUGGAAACGGUGGCUAAUACCGGAUAUGCCUAUGGGUGAAAAGAUUAAAUUGCCAGAAGAAGAGCUCGCGUCUGAUUAGCUAGUUGGAGAGGUAAACGGCUCACCAAGGCAUCGAUCAGUAGCU